UAUAACACAAGAACUAGGCAGAUUUUACUAUCCUACAGCCCAAAAGUCAAUAUUCACAUGUCAUUAUAACACAAGAACUAGAGAGGUUUCACUAUUCUUCAUCGAAAAAGGCAGUAUUCAGAAGUGAUUUAUAACACAAAACUAGCAAGAUUUCACUAAUCUUUAUCCCUAAAGACAAUAUUCACAAGUCAUUAUAACACAAGAACUGGGCACAUUUUACCAUCCUACAUCCCAAAGGGCAAUAUUCACAAGUCAUUAUAACACAAGAAUUAGAGAUGUUUCGCUAUUCUUCAUCCCUAAAGUCAAUAUUCACAUGUCAUUAUAACACAAGAACUAGAGAGGUUUUAACCAUCCUACAUCCCAAAGGGCAAUAUUCACAA